GACGGUAAUGAUAUGCAUCUUCAGCUGCUUCAAGAUAUCACAAACCGGCUUGGAGUGUUCCUUCCCCAACUAGAGGCUGAUCUUAACAGCUUUUCAGAUGCUGCAGAAUAUGCUACACGUUUUCUUGCAAUGCUUGCUGGUCCCCUUUACCCAAUUCUUCAAAUUGUAAAGGAAAGGGAAACAGCCAGGUCAGUAGGCAAUAUUUCGGAAUCUGAAGCUUCAAGAAACAGUCAACCUGUAAUAGCUUUGACUGUAUCAUCAAAUUUUGAGCCUAGGAGAUCACGCAUCAUGUCUUCCCUGAUUUUCCCUACAUCUUGUUACUUAGCUUUUCGUCCAGAUGCCAUCUUCAUUUUACUGAGGAAAGCUUAUAAGGAUUCUAACCUGGGAAAUAUUUGCAGAGUGGCCUCUUGGAUUCUGUGGAAGUUUCUUGAGCCUAUAAAGCCACCAGAAGCUUCACAUUCUUGUAGUGAAAUUACAACUUCAGUGCCUGAUGAAGGAUCACAAUCUGAGCCUUCCGCCCCUCCUUCUUUUGCUGAUUACUCUGAUUUAUUUGGAGAUGACUUUAAGAUACCAGAAUAUAUGUGGGACUCCAUUUUCAGUAAUG
rnacentral:misc_RNA from 1 species